rfam:Theobroma cacao cultivar Matina 1-6 chromosome 8, whole genome shotgun sequence.
AUACCUUUCUCGGCCUUUUGGCUAAGAUCAAGUGUAGUAUCUGUUCUUAUAAGUUUAAUAUCUGAUACGUGGGCCAUUGGUCCACACGAUAUUAAAUUAAUCUUUUUAGGGGGAGAACCCAUCUACAGUAGCUUGCUACUGGGGUUCUCGUGUGUCGCCCAAACGUUGCACUACAGCUUGGGCCUGGCGCACCCCAC